CCAUCUCUUCCUCCACCUCUCUGUAAGCAAACAAGAGGGUUUUUACCCGGAGCUUCGUCGACCGCUGUUGUCGCCAUGGACGCCGGCGACCUCACCUGACCGCGGGAAUCGAACCGCUGCGUCGCCGUCUUCGUCCUGGUCUACUUCACGGACCAGGGGACGCCAAGUUCUGCUCGGAAUCAUCCGCGCCGUCGGCGUCUUCUUCCCGGAGUCCGUCGAGCGCGCCACCUUUCUGCUACCUCUCCGGCAGCCCUUCCUCGCCUCCUCCACCUCGCCUCAGCCACCCAGGACGCCGACACAGAGCAGUACGAGCAGGAGUACGAGUUCCCCCUGGAGGAUCGUGUCGGUGCUUCUACCUCUGAUCUGACAGCCGAGCCCACCCCUUCACCUAUUUUACUUUUACAUGCUCUUUUGAUCUAUUGCUAUCCUUAUGUUGCGAUUCUGUUGUGUCACGUGUCCUAUCCACCUGUUACCUAUAUGUCCGAGAUACACCUCCUCGCCCUACCUUUUGUUUGUUGUUUGCAGAGUAUAGAACUGCUAGAAUAUGCGCUCUCUCAUCUUCUCUAUUAGACGGAUGUUGUAGCGUGUCUCUAUUGGAUAGUGCUUUGCUGCCGCUAAACUCCACAUAUAGCCGGGCGAAGUUUACACCGCCCACCAGCGAGCAUAGCUGGUCUUGUCUCGCAAGUACGUGCCAACGGUACUUACCCUCGUUUUUCUCCCUCUUUUUCUGGAACACGCUUUUCGACAAACAGGUAUGACAGAUGACGAGCAGUACGCUGGAGGCUACUUUGUCGAGUUCACGGACGACGACUUCGUUGCGUAGCAGGAUCGUUCCUAAGGCAGCAGCCUGUGGCAUGUUGGUUAUGGGAAUACCGCUUGAUUAUCUUCAGGACUCUUAGUCCAAUUUGGAUCUUGUCUGUACCCAGACUAUUUGGCUAUCUUAUGUAUGAUGUACUGAUGGGAUAUGUUUCCCUCCUGAGUGUCAUUUGGAUCUUGCUCAUUAGAGCGUUGCUAUAUAUAUGAACCUUAUUUCCA